AUGCAUUUACUCGUCGUGCCCACGUGCUGCCUCUCCUCCACUUCGCCUCAUCCGCAACUACCAAAGCUUCCGCGGCCGCUGCCUCGCAGCCUCGGGCACUCCGCGUCGCCGCGCUUCGGCGUCCCCUUCCGCCGGGCCGUGGUGCCCCCCGCCAUGCGCCGCCGCGGGCGACGGAGGGCGGCGGCCCCUCCCCCGGCCGCCGCUGCCGCAGGAGAGGCCUCCAGCGACUCCCCUGGUCCUCCAGGAGGCGAGGACAAGAGAGCUGGUACAGACCUCAAAACGCUAGCUAGAAGAUUCUGGAAAGUUGCCGCGCCUUACUGGUGGUCAGAGGAUAAGGCCCAAGCAAGGCUGCAGCUUGCUGGUGUAUUUGCGCUCACGCUGGCGACUACAGGGAUCAGCGUUGGAUUCAACUUUCUGGGCCGUGAUUUCUACAACGCCCUCGCCGACAAGGACCAGGAACAAUUUACGAAGCAACUGCUGUACUACUUGGGAGGUUUCGCUGUAGGAGUUCCGUUCUUUGUCUUGAGGGACUAUGCAAGAGAAACCCUCUCUUUAAGAUGGCGAUCUUGGAUGACAAGUUAUUACAUGAAGCGCUACUUUAAGAACAGAACAUUCUACAAGAUUCAGUCUCAAUCACUAAUAGACAAUCCAGACCAGCGGAUCAAUGAUGAUCUAAGUGCAUUUACUGGAACUGCGCUUGCAUUUUCCCUGACACUUCUCAACGCUGUCGUGGAUUUGGUAUCAUUCAGCAAUAUCCUUUAUGGAAUCUAUCCGCCAUUAUUCGUUGUUCUUAUUGUUUAUUCUCUUGGAGGGACCGCUAUUAGUGUCUUCCUUGGUAAGAGUUUGGUCAACUUGAACUUCAUGCAAGAAAAGAAAGAAGCUGAUUUCCGUUACGGGCUUGUCCGUGUUAGAGAAAAUGCUGAAUCAAUUGCCUUUUACGGCGGUGAGGAAAAUGAAUUGCAACUUCUGUUGGAUAGGUUCAGGAGGGCUUACCAAAACCUAAGUGAAUUACUGAUAGCAUCCCGAAAUCUGGAGUUCUUCACCAAUGGUUACCGAUAUUUAAUUCAAAUCUUGCCAGCUGCAGUUGUUGCUCCAAUGUUUUUUGCAGGAAAGAUCGAGUUUGGAGUGAUAAACCAAUCGGUGUCUGCUUUCAAUCACAUCCUCAGUGAUUUUUCUCUCAUUGUUUUCCAGUUUCAGUCAAUUAGUGCAUUCUCAGCUGUCAUUGAUCGUUUAGGUGAAUUUGAUGAUCUAUUGGGUGAAAAUGAGUCUUCUCUGUCACCCCAACGUGAUAGUAUUGAUGGGAUCAACAUUUCUUUCAAGAGCGGCAGUCCUUCUGUUCUUAGUUCUAAUGGCUCACAAAUGCAAUCUGAUCCAUGCAUAGUUCUAGAGAUUUGUGAUUUGACAUUGUUAACACCCAGGGGCGGAAAUAUUCUUAUUACUGACUUCAAUAUGGAAUUAAAAGACAAGGACCACCUACUGGUGAUGGGGCCCAGCGGCUGUGGGAAGACCUCGUUGCUGCGUGCUUUUGCUGGCCUUUGGACUAGUGGCACUGGGAAUAUCAUAUACCAUGCCAGAGAUUCUAGGCAGCUUCAGACAGCAAAUUUAGUUUCUAAUGAGCCAUCCAACAUGAAGCCAGAGGGUGAAGAACUACUACAAAGUUCCAAGCAGAGAAGAGAUAAUGGCAUAUUUUUUGUCCCACAAAGACCAUAUAUGGUUUUGGGAACUCUUCGUCAGCAAUUGCUCUAUCCUACAUGGACUGCAAAUAUACAUCAGGCACCAACUAAUGAUGCUCAAAGCAAAGCUCCUCUUUCCUUUCUGUCUGAAGUCUCCACGUCAGAUGGAGUGGGUGCCAAGCCUGAGAUGCCCUCAACUGAUGAACUGAUCCAAGUACUUGAGGUUGUUAGGCUGGGCUACAUAUUGCCACGUUUCAAUGGCAUGGAUUCUGUCCAUGAUUGGGCCAGUGUUCUUUCGCUAGGGGAGCAGCAGCGUCUUGCAUUUGCUCGGUUGUUGCUCGCAAAACCAACUCUGGUCCUACUGGACGAGUCCACAAGUGCACUAGAUGAUACAAAUGAGGUUCAUUUAUACAGUCAGAUUGAAGCUGCAGGGAUUACAUAUAUAAGUGUGGGUCACCGGAAAACACUUCACAGGUUCCACAACAAGGUUUUGUACAUUUCAAAGUCCGACUCAACAACUGGCAGCCUUCGUAAUUGGGAGUUAAAGCCAACAGACCAGAAAUCAAUUGAAGAAUCGUCCCCAUUCGCUUCAUAA
rnacentral:rRNA from 1 species